CUUACUCAGGACGGUGAGCCGGGUCCCGCCGCCGAAGACAAAACACAUACCAACACUACUGACAUCAGCUGACUGACAGUAAUAGUCGGCCUCGUCCUCAGCCUGGGCCCCGCUGAUGGUCAGGGUGGCUGUGUCCCCCGAGUUGGAGCCAGAGAACCGGUCAGGGAUCCCUGAGGCCCGCUCACUAUUUCCAUAAAUGACCUUCACAGGGGCCUGGCCCGGCUUCUGCUGGUACCAAGGUGUAUAUUUUUCAUCCAGGAGGUCCCCUGAGCAGGUGAUCUUGGCCAUCUGUCCCAAGGCACUGACACUGAAGUCGGCUGGGUGAGUUCAUAGGAGACCGCGGAGCCUG